CGAACGGGUGAGUAACGCGUGGGUAACCUACCUCUUAGCGGGGGACAACUAUUGGAAACGAUAGCUAAUACCGCAUAACAAUACUUAACACAUGUUAAGUAUUUGAAAGCACCAAUUGGUGCACUAAGAGAUGGACCCGCGUUGUAUUAGCUAGUUGGUAGUGUAAUGGACUACCAAGGCGAUGAUACAUAGCCGACCUGAGAGGGUGAUCGGCCACAUUGGGACUGAGGCACGGCCCAAACUCCUACGGAAGGCAGCAG
rnacentral:rRNA from 1 species